rnacentral:ncRNA from 1 species
AUAAACGCUAUGAGAAAGUUGAGUAGCUGUUAGUUGUCCGCAAGCGAGCUUCGUUUGGUGAGAGGAAGUGGGACGCUAACAGCGAAAAUCCCUUUUGAGCGAUGUACCGAACAUUUAGUAACGUACAUUGGGCACACCCAUUAUCGUGUUAGCGUAUCGCAGUUUUGCCGUACGUGAAGAGGUUGCAUCAGCAAUGGUGUGACAAUAAUAAGGUGGUAACGUGCAGAGGCACCCUUAAU